CCUGCAAUCGUUUGAAUAUUUACGGACGAUCAUCAUCUUCUUCUAGUCCAAUAGUAUUAAAGAGCAGCCAAAGUUUUGACCAACAGUCAACACCUUUUCUAGAGAUUUAUACAAUGCAAGAAACUGAGGAUUUGGAAGAACUUCCAGCAUCUUCCAUACAGAAUGGGAAGAGAGAUGAAACACGUGAAGAGAAGACGGAGGAUAUUACUGUCUAUGAACCACAAACACUCUAUUCUCUGCUUAUGGAUAAACAAGCUAAGUUAGUCCAUCUGAACAGAAGAAAAUCGGGAAGAGGGAAAAGUUGUUUGAUUUGCGAAAGAGGAUGAGCGAUGAGAGGACCAUGAGAAAAUGAGAACAAAAAAAUUCCCGAGUUAGCUAGAACCCAUCCGGCACUAAUGACAUUCAAAAGUGUUCAGCUUUCGCCGGCAACUUGGAUGGCGGUUUCAUGGUUAGCAUAAUUCAUGUGAUUUUCCCAUCAGGCCCUUACUGUCGAUAAAAAAAUGCUCUGUUGGUACCCGAUUUACACCAUUCCGAAUCAAAAAAAUGACAAGGACUUAGAAGCAUUGCUUCCUCACUUAUCACACAUUGUCCUCAUCUUUUCAAGAUUGUGAAACAGAAAGUGACAACAUUGACACAGAGAAAGACAUAUAUUGGUGGUGUGGUUGGGGAAGCACUGAAGGAAACAAAUGCAAGAACAAGAACGGAAGCAGUGGUGGCGGCAGCAUUUCUGUGCCGCCUUUCGGUCUAGCUACCUACAAGAUGCAAGAAGAUCUAUGGCUGAAUCCAGAGCCAUGUGAAUAUGAAAGGAUAUCAUAUCUGUACAGUGCUGCAGAUUCAUGGUUGAAACAGCUCAAUGUUUAUCACCAUGACUUCAACUUCUUCACACAACACCCUACACCAACAACCUUGUAGUAAAUUCGCUUCAUUAACUAAAUUAACUACCCUUUUGGUUAGCUUUCAACUUCUGACUCCGGCAUAAUAACAAAAUAUUUCAGUUCCCUUGGGUCCAAAUUCUGAGAAAUGUAAAGUUUUGUAGUUAACCAGAGAGAUAGAAAGAAGGGGGUAGUUUUUUUUUUUUUAUUUU